AGAACUCCGAUCAGAAUGGCCAGGACGGCAAGAAAAGCUGGCCACUUCCACUUACCUGCAGAACCCAGGUCGGUGCUUGUCACCGGGAUCCGAGGUGGAGGGGCUGCAGCCUCUUCACCUCCUCCAGACCUUGAGGGGCACCUUGGUUACGCUCAACAAGGUUUGGAGUAAGGGGCGGAGGACAGUGGAGCCCUAGGGGCUUGGGAGCACCCAAACCUGAAGUCGCUAAGUGAACAAAUUACACGUGUGAUUGUGGCAAGGUCAAGGCCAGGAGCGAGAAGAGGUGACAUGAGGUGCCCCCUCCCACGUCGCCUGGCUCCGACUGCAGCACAAAGCCAGGUGAUGGGAGGCAGAUUCCACUUUUCAGAAGUGGCCACGGUGUUUCCAGGCCUGUCACACGCAUGACGGUGACCUUCUCCUCCCCUUGACCAGAGGGGCCCCUGCCGAGGGACGCAGUGAGUGUCUCCUGGGGACAGUUCACUGUGGGAAGAUGGAGAUCCCUGGAGACGGAGGGCGGUGAUGGCUACUCGGCACCAUGGAACUGUCCCCGGGUGUCAUUUAUGAGGUUUCACUUACGGAUGGCACGUGGAUGAGCAGGUUUGACUAAUAGGGCAGCCCAGGAGCUAUUAUCAACGUGCACUUCCCCAUUUUUAAUUUUAUUAAGAGUGAGUACACACGUACCACUGAUCCCUACAUGGCAAAAUACUGUUCUGCGCCAUACGGUGAUUUUAAAAGGGGGGGAAGGUGGGGUUUAUUUUCUUUCUGAAUCUUGAGUAGGGGUGGGUCUAGAAUGCAGUAAAAGUGAUGGAGUGUGACCCCCAAAGCUUGGUCACCAGGGGUUUGGUGCCCUUCUCCCUCUGUUUCCCUCUCCCUCUCCGACUCUCUCUCUCUCCAUCUCUCUCCCUUUCUAUCUCUGACCAUCUCUGUCUGUCUCCCUCUUUCUCUAACUCUCUAUCUCCCAUCCCCCAUCCUCUCCCUCUCUGUCUCUGGGUCCCUAGCCACCUCUACUCUGGCCAUUCCCUCGCUUUCUUUCUACCCAUCUCUCUUUCUGUCUUCCCUGUCUCUCUCCUUCUCUCCCUCUUUCUCCCUCUCUGUCUGUCUGUCUCUCCGUCCCUUCUCCCCCACCCCCAGGGAGGCUCCUCUAGGUCAGUGCUGACCAGGGCUCUUCAGGGCCUGGACUCCUCUCCUCCCAUGUGUCCAGGGCACAUUCUAGAGCUGAUUGUUUUUUACAGUAAACUCAUAGAUCCAACAUUCACCUCUAAAUGGCCCUCUAAAUGGUGAUACCUGUGAAGUACAAGGUGCCUACACCUGGAGUCCAGGGACUCUACCUGAAGUCACCAAAGACCUGUGUCCUCACCCCGAGGUGCAAUCAGGAGUCAAGGGGAAGGAAGAGGGUCAGGGCGAUGCAGUUCAGACCUGACGCUACCAGGAGGGCCCGUGGAGCUGCAUGGGGACUGGGGACAAGGUGGAGGCUGUCCUGCCUGUCUAGCUGGGCUGCUAGGUCCUCAUCUAGCCUGGGGCCAGAGGCUGUCCUGAUAGGUGCUCACUGUGCCCUGUCCCUGUCCUGCAGGCCUGCUGAGGAGGGGACAGCCCCUCACGGGCUCCUCCUGGGCUGUCACACACAGUGAAGGAAUGCUGGGUGGCUCAGGUGAGUGACCCACGGUGGGCCUUGGGGCCAAAGAGGGAGGCCCGGGGGCCCAUCUGGGGCUGGGAGACAGGAGCAGAAGCUCAGGCCUGGAAAGGGCAGGCAAGUCCAGCUCUACUGCGCGUUUCCAGGUCUACCCGUGAGGAGGUGCAGUGGACUGAGCUCUUCCUUUUGCAGCCUGGGGGCCCUUCUUCUCCCGAGAAGACCCUGGGCAGGGGGUGGGGCCCAGCAGGAGGAAGUGGGCGUCUCCCCAGACUCGCGGAUCACCUCUUCACACCCAGAAACCUCCUUCUGAGGCCUUUGCCGUCCAGGUGAGCCAUUUGGGGGUCCUCAAAAGAGCCUCGUGACACUUUUCUCCCCACAGGCCACGGGACACUGGUUAUGCCAAGCCACCCACCCUUGAGGCAGAGCGGGCUGCUCCCCGCCUCUGUACCCACACAGGGGCCCAGCUGGGCCCGUGCCCCAGCACCUCCAUCUGGCCCACUCAGCUUAUCUCUAGCAAGAAGCCCAGAGAACACGGGCUCCACAGGCUGACCUCGGGCCUCAGCAUCCCGUCUGCCCUCAUGGGGCAGGUUUAUGUCUGACCACGAGUCUCAGCCAUCGGAGUGGUUAAAGCCUUGAUCGUCCUAACACAGAUACCGACUUAACUGGACUCAGAAGUGCAGCAGCUGCCACCCGUGCCCCGACCCCUUCCUCAGUCACACUAUGAAUCCCUGCAGACCAGGUUUCUAACAAACGACCCAAACAGGGGAACGGCCCCUCGGUGUGUCUGGAAGCGCAGCCUGGGUCGGAGCAGCACUCCUGUCUUAUGAGCUGUGAGGUUCUCACACCCCACUUAACCACAGGCUGGAUUCUUCGGGUGUAACACUUUAGAAAGCAGAACAAGUUUGGAACUAACAACCUGCUACAUAGAGGACAUGGGUGGCAUGGAGAUAAAAACACAUUGUCAGAUAAAGUGUUCCUGCCAAGAGAAAACCAGCUGUGAAGAGUUUAGCCUGGAAGAAAACAAAAUCUAUCAGGAGACACCUUCCCAGCAAGCAGGGCUCUGCAUGUUCCCCCGUUCAUUUUCCACAUGAAGCACCUGUUUGGGUUGCCAUGGUAACCUCGCACCUAUUUUUCAGAGGAUCUCACAGAAGUUGAACUCCACGUGGAGGUUUAGUGGAGUGUCACCUAUUGAAAUCAACAGGACCUUGGCUUCUUUUCAUCAACUUAGAUGCUUCGGUUCAGAAUAUUUGCUGACACUUUUCCAUCCUGUGAUUGAUCUGCUUCUCUUCUGCUGCCUAACAAACCACCCCCCAAAUUAGUGAUUGAAACAACGAUGACAUUUUUUUUUCUCCACCCCCAAAUCUGCAACAUGGGCAGGGCUUGGCCAAAGCGAGCAUCUCUGCUUCACAUAUUAUCUGAAGCAGCUGGAUGAUGGCUGCUGGGAUCGUCUGCAGGCUGUGUCCACGCUGGGCGGAGGAUGCCGGCUGGUUGUCUAGGACCUCAGCUGGAGCGCCUGGGUAGAAAACCCUCACCGCAGCUGCCUCACAUGCCCUGGCUUUCUCACCUCAUGGUGGACGUGUUCCAGGUUUGGGGUUAUUAUUUUCUUUUAAUUUGCUGACAUGAUAUUUGUACUCAUUUAUGGGGUACCAUACUAUAAUUUGAUACAUGUAUAAAAAGUGUAAUGAUCAAACAA